rnacentral:rRNA from 1 species
CCUACGGGGGGCAGCAGUGGGGAAUAUUGGGCAAUGGGCGCAAGCCUGACCCAGCAACGCCGCGUGAAGGAAGAAGGCUCUCGGGUUGGAAACUUCUUUUUUGAGGGACGAAGAAAGUGACGGUACCUCAGGAAUACGCCACGGCUAACUACGUGCCAGCAGCCGCGGUAAUACGGAGGAGGCAAGCGUUAUCCGGAUUUAUUGGGUGUAAAGGGAGUGUAGGCGGGAAAGCAAGUCAGAUGUGAAAGCUCAGGGCUCAACCCUGAGCCUGCAGUUGAAACUGUUUUUCUUGAGUGCUGGAGAGGCAAUCGGAAUUCGGGGUGUAGCGGUGAAAUGCGUAGAUAUACGGAAGAACACCAAUGGCGAAGGCAGAUUGCUGGACAGUAACUGACGCUGAGGCGCGAAAGCGUGGGGAGCAAACAGGAUUAGAUACCCCGGUAGUC